rnacentral:rRNA from 1 species
CGGCAACAGCUCAAAUUUGAAAUCUGGCUCUUUCAGGGUCCGAGUUGUAAUUUGUAGAAGAUGCUUCGGGUGUGGCUCCGGUCUAAGUUCCUUGGAACAGGACGUCAUAGAGGGUGAGAGCCCCGUCUGGUCGGAUACCGCGUCUCUGUAAAGCUCCUUCGAC